rnacentral:tRNA from 18 species
ACGUCUUUAGUUCAGUUGGUAGAACAUUGGUUUCCAAAACCAAGGGUCGUGGGUUCGAGUCCUACAAGACGUG